UACAGAGGUCCCAAGCGUUGUUCGGAAUUACUGGGCGUAAAGGGCUCGUAGGCGGCCAACUAAGUCAGACGUGAAAUCCCUCGGCUUAACCGGGGAACUGCGUCUGAUACUGGAUGGCUUGAAUCCGGGAGAGGGAUGCGGAAUUCCAGGUGUAGCGGUGAAAUGCGUAGAUAUCUGGAGGAACACCGGUGGCGAAGGCGGCAUCCUGGACCGGCAUUGACGCUGAGGAGCGAAAGCCAGGGGAGCAAACGGG
rnacentral:rRNA from 1 species